rnacentral:tRNA from 1 species
GGAGAGGUGGCCGAGUGGCUGAAGGCGCACGCCUGGAAAGCGUGUAUACGGUAAUACCGUAUCGAGGGUUCGAAUCCCUCUCUCUCCGCCA